GGAAGCAUGGCUCACAAGGUAGAGUAAUUGCCUCCAAAACAUGAAGCACUGAGUUCAAAUCCCAGUACUGCCA
rnacentral:tRNA from 1 species